AGAGUUUGAUCCUGGCUCAGAUUGAACGCUGGCGGCAUGCCUUACACAUGCAAGUCGAACGGCAGCGCGGGAGCAAUCCUGGCGGCGAGUGGCGAACGGGUGAGUAAUAUAUCGGAACGUGCCCAGUAGUGGGGGAUAGCCCGGCGAAAGCCGGAUUAAUACCGCAUGAGACCUGAGGGUGAAAGCGGGGGAUCGCAAGACCUCGCGCUACUGGAGCGGCCGAUAUCAGAUUAGCUAGUUGGUGGGGUAAAGGCCUACCAAGGCAACGAUCUGUAGUUGGUCUGAGAGGACGACCAGCCACACUGGGACUGAGACACGGCCCAGACUCCUACGGGAGGCAGCAGUGGGGAAUUUUGGACAAUGGGCGCAAGCCUGAUCCAGCAAUGCCGCGUGCAGGAAGAAGGCCUUCGGGUUGUAAACUGCUUUUGUCAGGGAAGAAAUCCCUUGGGAUAAUACCUCGGGGGGAUGACGGUACCUGAAGAAUAAGCACCGGCUAACUACGUG
rnacentral:rRNA from 1 species